AACGAACGUUAGCGGCGCGCUUAACACAUGCAAGUCGAACGAGAAAGGGCUUCGGCCCCGGUACAGUGGCGCACGGGUGAGUAACACGUAGGUAAUCUACCCUCAAGUUCGGGAUAACGAUCUGAAAGGAUCGCUAAUACCGGAUGUGUUCCGAAAGGAAGAAAGACCCGCAAGGGUCGCUAGAGGACGAGCCUGCGGCCCAUCAGCUAGUUGGUGAGGUAAUGGCUCACCAAGGCUAAGACGGGUAGCUGGUCUGAGAGGAUGAUCAGUCACACUGGAACUGAGACACGGUCCAGACUCCUACGGGAGGCAGCAGUGGGGAAUAUUGCGCAAUGGGCGAAAGCCUGACGCAGCCACGCCGCGUGAGCGAUGAAGGCCUCGGUCGUAAGACGUCUGUGGGAGGAGACGAAGAAGAC
rnacentral:rRNA from 1 species